UACGUAGGGGGCAAGCGUUGUCCGGAUUCAUUGGGCGUAAAGAGCGUGUAGGCGGCCAGGUAGGUCGGUUGUGAAAACUGGAGGCUCAACCUUCAGACGUCGAUCGAAACCAUCUGGCUAGAGUCCGGGAGAGGAGAGUGGAAUUCCUGGUGUAGCGGUGAAAUGCGCAGAUAUCAGGAAGAACACCCGUGGCGAAAAGCGGCUCUCUGGAACGGUACUGACGCUGAGACGCGAAAGCGUGGGGAGCGAACAGG
rnacentral:rRNA from 1 species